AGAGGGGGGGGACAGGGAAUGGUGGCCCACUGCUCGGGCACUGGCUGGGCAUCAGUCAGCUGGUGGUGAGCAAUUGUAUUGCACAUCUCUUGUUUUGUAUCUUCUUUUAUCAUUAUUAUUAUUUUCCCUUCCUUUUCUGUCCUAUUAAACUGCCUUUAUCACAACCCACCAGUUUUACCUUUUUUCCGAUUCUUUCCCAACCCACUGGGGGAGGAGUGAGUGAACGGCUGUGUGGUGUUUUGCUGCCUGCCAGGUUAAGACACAACAAAAGAAAGAUAAAAAAAUAAACCUGUACUUUUUCUGUAUUCUAUCCCAAAACUUUUCUAUUCACUCUUAGGUAGGGAGAUCAACUCUCACUGUAAAGAACUGUUUUAUUUGCUUUUAGAUAAUCUGGAUGAUUUAGAUUACCAUUUUGAAGUGAUGUUCAUUUCUCUUAGGCAACUGUCUCAGGAUUUCACAUUUUAUAAUAAAAUUCUGAACUUAAGAGUAGUGAGAAAAGAUGGCUGCAUCUAUACAUGCAUGUAAUAUAUCAUUCCCUAAACUGCCUUCUGGUUAGUUGUUUCAGUUUUGUCCAGAAAUUUUACAAACUGCUUCAAGUAUUCUUUUGCCUGUCCUGAAACAAGAUACUUGCACUGAAAAAUGGUUUGCAAAAGGGGUGUGGAAAGCAAUCCUAGUGUUCUUUUUUUAUGUCAGUGAAAAAAUAGCACUCAUUUCAGUGUUGUCAAAAUAAUGACAAAGUAAACAAUAUUUGAAAAUGAAAUGGUAUUUUGAGUUAGAUUAGACAGUAUCUUUUUCAUAAAUUUGUGAAUUAAAAUCCCAAACAAUUGAUUUCAUUAAAAGCAGAAUACAGUUAAAAAUUAUCUUUGGAUGAGGACUUUAUUCCAUAAUAAUCCAUUCAUAGAUGCACCAAUGCAAUAUAUGACACUAAAAACAAAUAAUAAAGAAAUAAAUCAGGAAAUAUCAUAGUAUGACAGGGUUCGGUUUUGUUUGUUUGUUUGUUUUUUUAAAUAGUGAUUCUUCAAUGCUUCCUAAUGUCCCAAAGCUAAACAAAUGUUGAUAAUACUCUCAAGGACAUCGAGACAGGAAAGCUUCAGAAAGGUGACUCAAAAAAGGGAGGAUUUUAAUAAUAUUUAAUCUGGAAAACUAGGAUAAAUUGAGCUUAUCCCAAUUUGUAAAAUCAUUUUAAAUCUGAUGCACUGGAAGAGGAUAAUUUAAUUUCAAGAGGUCAGGAGUUUGCCUAGAUAUGUACACCGAGGGUGUAUUUAAUAGGUGACAAAGUUUGCAUCAAAGGAAUUUUGCCCUUGUGUAUUGUAGGAUAUUGUGGAAUACUCCUGAUAAGGCCCAGGGCUGAACACACAAUUUUAAAUGUAGUUUUGCUAGACUCAUACAGAGGGCAAAUUCAUAGUGUGGUUUAGAUCAGUUCAAAAUACCUUAACCCUUUUCUGCAAUUACAUUGAAUUGAGGUACGAUUCUCGGUGAGUUUCCUGUAAGAAGUAUGUGAGUAAAAGGUUUGGCUUCCUGAGGAGUGGGCUGCUCUUAAGGAUGACUCCUUGACUAGAGUUACAGUCACGGUCUCUGGCAAGAUGUUAUAUAGUCUCUUUCUCGGCAUGUUCAAAAUGUAUUAAUCCUUUAAAGAAGUAUAACAGCUGGUGUUUUGAAGACACCAACAAAGAUUCAAACUAAGAUUCAAAGAGUCAGCCUACAAUUGAGCUGGACGCGUUUUGUUUACAGCUGCUGCAGUGAAAUGGAGGUGAAUCCAAGUGAAUCGAGGAGACUGAAUAACUGACAAUAAACAUGACAUUUUUAUUUGAUGCAAGACUGAGCUUGUUUCUGAUUUGUUCCUGAUUGUUUUUGAUUAAUUUCUGCUAACUUUCAUAAACUUUUAGGGUGCAGAUGAAAGGAAGACAGGUUUUCAUUUCCAAUACUGAGGUGGUUCUCUGUUCUGCUUUUAGAAUGCAUUUGAUAGUAUUGUUUUUCUUAAACGUUUAUUUUCCAUAAAAAAAGGAAGAGGGGGGAAACUAGGGGAUUGUUUUUAGUCAAGCAGAAGUUUUCUUAUAUUCCCCAAGGUAACAUCCUGUAUGUUCCUAUGUAAGGCACUGGCUGUUGCCAGGUUCACUUUUUUUCUGAUGCUACUUAAUCCUUCUAACUUGUGACAGAAAUCCAAGAUCUGAACAUAAGUCUUAAGAAAUGGAAAUGCCAAUAUGUGUUUUUCUUCAAUUAGUUGUUCAGACAGUCCCUAUAGUAAGUUCUGUCAGAGACAAUAAAUUUGCCAUAUUUCACUAGAUUUUUUUCCUCAAAUGCCCCUUCCCUUGCCCGCAAUACCUAGCAGGUUCUCAGCUUGCAGCAUCUUCUACCACACCAAAAGUUAAUCAGAAAACAUAUGUUACCUGUGCUGUUGUAAGCAACAGAAAGACUAUAAGUGCCUUUCUACUUUUGCUGUCAGGCAUAGGCUUAGAUGAGAUAGAUUUGAAGUUGCUUGAACUUGCUACAGGCAUUUUAUCCCAACAGCUAGCAUCUGUUCCCAGUGAAGCAUUUUAUCAAGGUAUUAUUUCACUGGAGUGUGAAGUGGCAAAAGUUAUCUUCAUACAGGCUGUUCAGUUGUAAAUGUUAGUUAUGCUAAGGCUUUUAUUGUUGUUGUUUUAUUUUGUGCAUAAUUAAAAGUUAAAGUAUCUAACAUUUACAUGACAGAAUUUUUACAAUUUGUUCCCUACAAAGUUAUGAAAAACCUUGUCUUGAUGGAAGAAGCUUGGCUUGAUGGAAUGAUCCAGAUUUGAAAUUCUGAGAUAUUCUUCCAAAAGUGCCUACAUGCAAACUACCUACUAAAGAAGGGACUGCAUUUUCAGGAAAGAUUUGAUUUAUUGGAUGUUUAGUGCAAAACAGAUUUUUUUUUUUUUUUCAAAGAAGACCAGAAGUGUUUCUAUUAUUUACUAGGCAAAAAGAAGUUCUGAACAGGAGGCAAUUUCUUCAUUUGAAACGUUGCUCUUUGAACAUAAAGAAAUAUAGAGAUGUGAAAGGAUCAGAAGCAAGCCACGCAAACCACAAACUCCUUUUCUAGUCCAUACCAGAAAACCCAGUGCUCUAGUUUACUUGCAAAAUGUUUCCUUUUCAAUUACAGUGCAGUCAAGAAAAACCAGCCACAAUUAUUUUCACAAACACAAUAAUAUGUGACUUUACUCACCAACAGAAAAAAAAUACAUGUUUUUCAUCUGAAAAAGCUGUCUUCUGAAAUUUCCUGUUCUGAGACUGAAAAAAAUGGUGUUAUGAAUGGACAGAAAAAUUCUCUAUGACACUUUUUAAAAAAUUCCUAAUUACAAGAGGAAAAACAUAAUUUCUGCUUCUCUUAGCUGUCUGGAAUUCUCAUGUUUAAUAUUCAGCUGUUAUUUUGCCUUUAAACAUUACUUGUAUCUAACAUAACAAAGCUUAUGCGUUUCCCUAGCGCUUAGCCUGUUAAAGUGUGUACAGUCACAGUGGAGUCCAGCACAUAGAUGGCAUUUCAGCAAGUAGAUGUUCACUGUACAUGAGCUGAUGGUGCAGACUGCUAAAAGUCUGGGUCAAGUCAUAUUAGAGCCUGCAUUGUGGGGAGUUAGUGCUGCUUGUCGAUGACACAUCAUAAAGGCCCCUUGGAAAGAGGGAAAAAAGCUCAGACACCUGCCUUAAGUGUCUAGGGAAGGAAGUUAAUGUCCCUAAACUCUCUAUAUAUGGAAAAAAAAGUACAUGCAAGCUCUUACAGAGAGUGCUCUGGACUAUGUUCCUAACUUAGUUCAUGUUGAAAUACGAGUCCAAAAUAAGUAGCCUCCUGGUUUAGGCAUAACUAGUGUUUGUCAACAUGAAUGGCUAUAUGCUUUGGUGAACUAAGUUUGUUUCAUAGAUAAAAAUAGAAGAAGAGCUAAGCGGAAGUUGUCUAACCUAUUUUGGCAAAUUCUGCUUCUCUAAUGUUAGCCAAAAGUCCAGAGACCUUACCUGUCUCCCUGAAGAAAUAUAACUUUAAAGGAAUCUUUCUUUUUCAUGCUCUCAUUUGCUUUUUAAGUGGAACAGCUAGUGAAACUUUGAAAGUGGAACACAGUGGAGCUGAGCUGAAUAACAAACUAAAAUUUGCUUCUAGCCAAAAAAAGUUUUAAUUCUUUUUUCUUCUUCUUUCUUCUGAGCUUCCAUGUCUCUAGUUCCUUGCAGUUCCCAAAGGACUGAAGAUAAUGGCCUUCAACACAGACACUGCAGAAUAGAAUAGGCUGCAGUGACGUUGUGCCUGAUGUGACAACCAACAUAAUUCCAUCUUUGAGAUGUCCAGUUAUGGUGUUUGGCAAAUUUCAAAAUGUUGUAAAUGAGAAGUGGCACCUCCAGUGUUUUUUCAGAACAGAUUGUCCAUGCUGAAUUUAUAACCUGCACCACUACUGAGGCAGCUUUAUUGGCCAGCUUCUGUCUCCCAAUUUCUGAACAUCUGCUAUUCAGAAAAUCUAAGUCAUCACCUGGACAUUGGAUGAACUUCAAGCAGUGCGUGUUGCAAAAUGAAACUACUGAAAGCGAGCUUUUCAGUCAUGUAAAUGUAUCAGUACAGUCAGCAAUGUCUGAAACUGUUACAGAGCAUUUACUAUCAAGCCCUAGAGAAGUCUGUAGUGUGUCACUCAGUGCUCUUAGCCCCACAUGAAACUGGAAGUGUGUUUCCAUGAAGAAUGCAGAGAGCCUGCUACAACUUUCAUCUGUGUCUGCCAGAAAUUCUGACUGAGAGAUUUAAUGGCUGACGGUUCCGCAUAUGUUUCUGUCAACGUGAUCCUCGACUCCAACUGCGUCCUACAGAGAAAUGCUUGAACACACGAGAGGUACAGCUGAGCCGCACAAUGACAAAGGCAAAGCUGACACAGUGAUCCAGUUUUAGAACAGAGACAAUAUCUUAAUUCAUCAUCUAGAAUAGAAAAUGUACUGCUUGAAUAGAAUGCCAUGAUUCAUAGCUGGAUUGCCAUCAUGUAUGUUUUUUACAUAAGGCAGCAAAUAGAUUUGAUAGGACUCUCUUAAUUAUUAUCUGUUAAUUUAUUCUAAGGAUUCUACUGCAUGAAUUCACAACUUGAAAUCUGGUACAACUUGCUUUAUUGUGUUGUUGGUUUACCUGCUGUACCUCUCAGCCAAAAUUCCUCUAUUUUUCUAUAUAUGGAAGACUCUCAUCUCAUUAAUAGUUAAGCACACAUUACGGAUUAUGUACAACAUUCUGUAAGGCUUUAAGAAAGAUACACAUCACAUUCCUUGUGUUCACCCGUUCGUUUCAAAGGCGUGGGCUUACAAGCUCAGACCUCCACACAAGGGGCUUGAUAGUUUAAUAAAUCGUUCAACAAAGCCAAGCUAGUCCAUAAAAUCUGAGUCGAAAUCAGGCAAAAUCAAUAGUUUGGGCUGAGAUUUUGUUUGUGUUUCAAAUCAAAACCUGGGUCAUAAACUCCCAAUAAAUAAAUCCAGCUGUCAUGCCAUACUAAUCUCACUGCCUACUGAUAACGAAAAGAGAAGCAUCUUCUUGGGCAGAGCAGGUGUUAGAAAAAAAGCAGCCUGUCUGAGCCCCAAGCCCAAGUACAUGAUUGCAUCCCGCUGGGUUAAGUUACGAAGAAAUCCAAAUCAUUCAGUGUGGGGGUGAAAGGAGGGAGAGGCCCAUGCCUUUCUUUCUCCUUAGGCUCCUCAUGAGUCUAACACUGCCCCUCCUCUUUGAAUAUGGUUAUCAGCAAAUCUGACUCUGAACAGCAACUAACAGAUAUUCAUGACGACAGCAGCUGCAAAGUUGUUAAAAAUAUACAAAAUUUCAUUGUGUGGGUGGAAAGAUUGCCCUUGCUGAACAGAGACAGAAAUCCUAGCGGCCCAAUAUUUUCGGCCACAGCUUGCUAUAUUUCGACACAUAGUCUAGGAACCCCAGUCUGUGUUGUCCUUGUUGUUGACCUUAUUAUCCUUGUUGAAGAUCUUUUAAAUGCAAGCUUUUAAAAUAAAAGUGAGGCUGCUUUUUUUUUUUUUUUCCCUCUUGAACAAGGCUUUCAUGUUCAGAGAUGGAAAAAGAGAAAUUAUUUUUCCACCUGCUAUCAAUACACCAGGCCAAGCUGCCUGGGGUAGCUAAAAAAAAGCAUUCCACAACUCUGCAUGGAUUCCAGUGGAUUACUUAGCAGAGCCAAGAUUUGCAGCUUUCAGCUGCUCCUGCGGGUUUGUGUGGCAAAGUGCACAGAAAAUGCCAUGCCAACGAUUCCUUCAGAGCAGAUGGGGAGAUGCAUAUUUACUAAUCAUCACAGAAACUGUUAUAUGUGUUUAAAUCCUCUUUAUAAAAACAGUUUGCUUUUCAGCCAUUUAUUGAACAGCUCCUAAGCUGAACCUCUGCUCAGCAGUACGUGAAUACACGAUCAAGCUUUUGCUUUCUCUCCAGGAUCCAGUUGGGCAAUGAAUGGCAGUGACCACAACAUGCUCCCACUGUGACUGUGACUCCUAGCAGCCUUUCUGACAGCUAAAAUUGUCUAGGACUUCAUGGUUCUGUAUUUCUGAAAAUGAGGUUGCUAAUUACAACCAAUGCAGAACAUAAUAUCUAAAAGUGGAAAUUUUGUGGCUUAGCCUAGCUUUUUUCCAUAGUGCUAUAAAUUACCUACAGAAAUGCACUCAAAUCAAACUAAGAGAUAUAACAGGUAUAACUAUCGUGACUCAAAGCUGUACUUUGCUUUCUAGCCAGAUACCUAAGCCUUUAAACUAACCUUGAAAAAGGUGUAAGUUCCUCAGCCUCUCUGAAAGCUUCUGAAAGCACCUAAAACAAUUUUAAAAAAAAUGUAUCCUAAGACUCCAGUCACCCUUUCUAUAGCUGAAGGCAGACAAUACUUGAAAACACUUGUGCCUUUGACAGUCAUUUUCCCUUGUUCUAAGCCAAAGGGAAUGACUGUAUGAUUUCUUCUGCAUGUAGUGAAGAAACAGUAAAUAAGUAGCCCUGCAUGCUCUCAAAAUCACUCUUGCCCUCUGCAAUUAUCUUUAUCCUCCAUCAUAAAAUUAAUACACAGAUGACUUAAAAUAUCAAACCGAUAAAGGCAGCCCAGCUCUGCAGUUUCACAGUUGCCAGGGGUGGUGGCUGCAGGAGGCAGCGCUGCAGAAUAAACGAGCACUCUGGCAUUUGUCUUGCACAUCAUUAAGUGAAUGCUGGGGUUUGCUGGGGUUUUUUACCUAGCAAACCCUGAGUACACCUGUUGUAUUUUUACCUUCAGCUGAAAUCGCUGAAAGAGUUUGAGACAGCAAGAGACUUCAUUCCCUAUGAUUCGACAUGACAUAAAACCUUAGGUCCCACUCCUGGCAAGGACUCCUUGCUGCUACAUUAUUGUAACUAUUAAUAAUUGCUAAUAACAACAUUAUUAGUACAUUGCAGCAAUUCUUUUUUAUAUUCUGUAAUAUUUGCUCCACGGAUCCUUUUUGUAUUUCUCUCCUCUCUGUGUUUGUCUCUAGUUUGAGGAAAUUUCCUACUGGCUGAACUUAAAACCGUUAGUUCUUCUUGCUCUUUUAUAAACUGGAUUGAACUCCUUCUUUAUUUCAGUUAUUUGCAUUUUCAUUCAUUUAUUGCAUUACCUGCAGUGUGUCCACUUUACACUGCAAAACUUCUUGGUGUUUCUUAAAGAUUCACUUUAAAGCACUAAAUAAAAUAGCUUAAGACACUAUCUUGUGUCCUCAAGAAACAGUGUCAUUUGUUUACAGCUUAGAAUCAUGACAGCAGCUGCAUGCAGUCCAGGAUCGCACUGAUUAUUAUGCCAUGGUAUCGUAAGAAUGCUUUCUCUAUUUGUAGCGGUGGAUAUAUUAGAGCUAUCAGUCAGAAUGGAAAUGUCUGCAUGAAAACUCUGAUAAGUGAAAUAGAAACUGACACUUAGAAACUUGACACCUAAAAUUGUAAGAGAAACUGUGAUAGAAGCAAGCCACAGAAAUAAUCCAUUUCUUAUGAAAGAAAAGAACCUAAAAAGCAGAAAGACAAUUUGCCCCAGGAGCAGCAGAGCUGCAAAAGCAUGGUUUCCAGUAGAUUUGUAACCUUUAUCCCAAUCUUUCUCCCUGCUGCUUACCUCAUUAUAAUAAUUACAGCUCCUUCUGUCUCCCUUUGAAACCUCCACUGGGAGAGAAACAGCAUGAGAUGUAGCUUGUUAGCAGCUACAUUUGCACUGAUUGGCCACAGAGUUAUUCUUAAAUAGAUAGUAAAGCAGCUGAGCUCAUCUUCAGUGAGAGCUCUUUCUUGGUCUUCCCCUCUGUUAAUUUUCUCAAAACUUCUAGGAGCGUCAUUCUCUUUGAGAUUUACUUAUCUUUCAGACUUAUUUGAAAUCACUCUUAGGGUUCAAAAACUGUUAGGUGAGGAAUAGGUAACUCGACAGACAGACAGCUUGACUGCAUAAGCCUAUUGUCUUUAGGAAAUCAGGCUGAGAAAUGCUACUUUUCUCUUGGCUAGACAGCUUCGGCACUGUUAAACAGGAAUGGUUCAGGUGUUAAAUUUUCCAAGAACCAUUUCCAGUAGUCACCUAGCAUGUAGCUACUCUGUUUUUAAGAGUACAGAGAUAAGUCCUGGUCUAAGGAACUUAAUUUAUUCAUAUAAGCAGAGCCAGAAAGUACCAGAACUUCAAUGGGAAUCUUGAAGAAGUGGCAAUCUUUUGUCUGAGCAAGAGAGCACAAGAUAAAAUAAAGUUGAAUAAUACAGUAAAUAGAAGUGGAUGGUGGCCCAGGUCAACAGUAGAACUUAAGGCUUCUUACCUUCCACCAAAGAAGUGAGUGACCCAGCUUCUUCUGAUUUUCAAACAAGAAGAGCAGAGGACAGGUACAAGCUGGAUGGACUGAUGGUAAAGCCAAGCAUAAUCCCUGCCUCUUUUUGAGGAA